GGCGAACGGGUGCGUAACACGUGAGCAACUGCCUAGACGCGGGGGAUAGCCGGCCCAACGGCCGGGUAAUACCGCAUACGCUCUUUGCGAGGAGUCUCGUGAAGAGGAAACCUCCGGGGCGUCUAGAGGGGCUCGCGGCCUAUCAGCUAGUUGGUGCGGUAACGGCGCACCAAGGCGACGACGGGUAGCUGGUCUGAGAGGAUGGCCAGCCACAUUGGGACUGAGAGACGGCCCAGACUCCUACGGGAGGCAGCAGUGGGGAAUCUUGCGCAAUGGGCGAAAGCCUGACGCAGCGACGCCGCGUGGGGGAUGAAGGUUUUCGGAUCGUAAACCCCUGUUGCCCGGGACGAACAGCGCUUUUCGAGGCGCCUGACGGUACCGGGUGAGGAAGCACCGGCUAACUCUGUGCCAGCCGCCGCGG
rnacentral:rRNA from 1 species